rnacentral:rRNA from 1 species
UACGUAGGGACCGAGCGUUGUCCGGAAUUAUUGGGCGUAAAGAGCGUGUAGGCGGCCUGAAAGGUCAGCUGUGAAAACUCGAGGCUUAACCUCGAGACGUCGGUUGAAACCAUCUGGCUAGAGUCCGGAAGAGGAGUGUGGAAUUCCCGGUGUAGCGGUGAAAUGCGCAGAUAUCGGGAAGAACACCCGUGGCGAAGGCGGCACUCUGGGACGGUACUGACGCUGAGACGCGAAAGCGUGGGGAGCGAACAGG